UUUCUGUCUAGCUUUUUUCCAAUAUAAAUUUAAAAAUCACCUUGUUUAAUUUUAUUUACAAAAAAAUCAAUUGCUAAUUUUACUUGGAUCAUAUUAAGUAUAUAAAUUAAGUUAGGGCAGAAUGAAAGUAAAUAGUGUUUUUAUCCAAAAGUAUGGCAGGUUUUUAUUCUUUUGUGACCUUCAGAAGAGUUGUAGAUAUCAAAAAUAUGUGCAGACUUAGUGAAAUUCAAUAUUAAGAAAAAUGUGCAAAAGUUUUGAAUAAUUAUUUUGUGGAGAAGAUAUAAAAAUAAACAACAAAUAUGGAAAUUUGCUCUAUGUUUUAAAUCAUAAAACAAAUGUAAAUUAAAACCACAAUCUGGGGAAUAGAAAGACAUUAGAAAACCAUUACCAAAG
rnacentral:lncRNA from 1 species